rnacentral:rRNA from 1 species
ACGCUCGACACCUACGGGAGGCAGCAGUGGGGAAUAUUGCACAAUGGGGGAAACCCUGAUGCAGCGACGCCGCGUGAGCGAAGAAGUAUUUCGGUAUGUAAAGCUCUAUCAGCAGGGAANAAACUGACGGUACCNGACUAAGAAGCACCGGCUAAAUACGUGCCGGCAGCCGCGGUAAUCUGAGCGGGCUGGCAAGGC